AUUGAACGCUGGCGGCAUGCUUUACACAUGCAAGUCGAACGGUAACAGGCCGCAAGGUGCUGACGAGUGGCGAACGGGUGAGUAAUGCAUCGGAACGUGCCCAGUCGUGGGGGAUAACGCAGCGAAAGCUGCGCUAAUACCGCAUACGAUCUAUGGAUGAAAGCGGGGGACCGUAAGGCCUCGCGCGAUUGGCGCGGCCUAUGUCAGAUUAGGUAGUUGGUGGGGUAAAGGCUCACCAAGCCAACGAUCUGUAGCUGGUCUGAGAGGACGACCAGACACACUGGGACUGGGACACGGCCCAGACUCCUACGAGAGGCAGCAGUGGGGAAUUUUGGACAAUGGGCGCAAGCCUGAUCCAGCAAUGCCGCGUGCAGGAAGAAGGCCUUCGGGUUGUAAACUGCUUUUGUACGGAACGAAACGGCUCUCUCUAAUACAGGGGGCUAAUGACGGUACCGUAAGAAUAAGCAUCGGCUAACUACGUGCCAGCCGCCGCAGUAAAAC
rnacentral:rRNA from 1 species